rnacentral:rRNA from 1 species
GACGAACGCUGGCGGCGUGCUUAACACAUGCAAGUCGAACGAAGUGGCGAAUGGGUGAGUAACGCGUAAUCAACCUGCCCUUCAGAGGGGGACAACAGUUGGAAACGACUGCUAAUACCGCAUACUGAAGGAGGGGAUUGCGUCUGAUUAGCUAGUUGGAGGGGUAACGGCCCACCAAGGCGAUGAUCAGUAGCCGGUCUGAGAGGAUGAACUGCCACAUUGGGACUGAGACACGGCCCAGACUCCUACGGGAGGCAGCAGUGGGGAAUCUUCCGCAAUGGACGAAAGCCUGAUCCAGCCAUGCCGCGUGUGUGAAGAAGGUCUUCGGAUUGUAAAGCACUUUAAGUUGGGAGGCGUUACCAACAGAAUAAGCACCGGCUAACUUCGUGCCAGCCGCCGCGGUAAUUC